rnacentral:sRNA from 1 species
ACCUCUCCACAUGGGUCCCUCCGGAAGCUGUGCGAUCGGUGGAGGAGGAUGACCUUCCCCCAAAUAGAGGAGGAGCCCGUCUUGGGUCAAGGGUAUAAGAGUAGCUGUGUUCCUCUGCUAGAACCUCCAAACAAGCUCUCAGUUCAUUAGCCUGUUUGUGUGUGUGUGUGUCCAUUUACUUUCUGCACUUCUUCAUAUAUUCUAGACUCUCUGUCUGAUGUACAAUUGG